CAAUAGCGUAUAUUAAAGUUGUUGCGGUUAAAAAGCUCGUAGUUGGAUUUCUGCCGAGGACGACCGGUCCGCCCUCUGGGUGAGCAUCUGGGACGGCCUGGGCAUCCUCUUGGGGAACGUAGCUGCACUUGACUGUGUGGUGCGGUAUCCAGGACUUUUACUUUGAGGAAAUUAGAGUGUUUCAAGCAGGCGCACGCCUUGAAUACAUUAGCAUGGAAUAAUGGAAUAGGACUUUGGUUCUAUUUUGUUGGUUUCUAGGACCGAGUAAUGAUUAAUAGGGAUAGUUGGGGGCAGUUAGUAUUUAGUUGUUCAGAGGUGAAAUUCUUAGGAUUUACUAAAGUACUAAACUUCUGCGAAAGCAUUUGCCUAAGGAUGUUUUCAUUUAAUCAAGAACGAAAGUUAAGGGGAAUCGGAAGAUGAUCAGAUACCAU
rnacentral:rRNA from 1 species